rnacentral:sRNA from 1 species
UUUAUUUCAAAACAAAAACCGAUUUCUUACAUAAAACUUUCUUUUUUUAUAACAGCGAAGUUCGGACCUAGAUUCUUGUAAACAUAGAUUCGAAGUCAACAUUUACUCCCAAGAGAAAUUGAGGUAGAGGCACAAUAGAAUAACCUUCUACCACAAUGGAAACCAAUAUCAUUUGCUAAUCACUACAUUAUCGUACUCUAAGAAUUUCUUUAUAAAAAUUAGAGGUUUGAAUUUAUAAUAUGAUUAAUUUUGCCCCAAAAAAA